AUUGAACGCUGGCGGCAUGCUUUACACAUGCAAGUCAAACGGCAGCGCGGGCUUCGUCCUGGCGGCGAGUGGCGAACGGGUGAGUAAUACAUCUGGACGUGCCCACCUGAGGUGGAUAGCUCCGCGAAAGCAGGCUUAAUACACAGCCGACCUGACGGGCAAAGCGGGGUGUAUUCGGACCGCGUGCGAUUUAUGUGGGCGGUAUCCGGGUAGAUAGAUGGUGGGGUAAAGGCCUACUAAGGCGACGAUCUGUAGCUUGUCUGAGCAGACGACCAGCCACACUGGUACUGAGACACGGCCGACACUUCGACGGGAUGCAGCAGUGGGGAAUUGUGGACAGUGGGCGAAAGCCUGAUCCAUCAAUGCCGCGUUUGUGAUGAAGGCCUUCGGGCUGUAAAGCACUUUUGGCGGGAGCGAAAAGGACUGUGCCAAUACCACGGUUCGAUGACGGUACCCGCAGAAUAAGCACCGGCUAACUACGUG
rnacentral:rRNA from 1 species